GGCAAGAUGGCCGAGCGGUCUAAGGCGCCAGACUCAAGUUGUAACAGGCUUGUCUCUCCCCACAGGAGAGGUGUUAUUCUGGUCACGAAAGUGGCAGGGGUUCGAAUCCCCUUCUUGUCA